AACCUUUCCUGGUUCAUAAGUAUGAUGAUUGAGUGUUUACAUGUUUCUGUUAUAUAUACCUUUCUUAAAUCUUAUUACGAGGUUGGCCCGUUGUCUGAUG